rnacentral:rRNA from 1 species
AGUUUGAUCAUGGCUCAGAACGAACGCUGGCGGCAGGCCUAACACAUGCAAGUCGAGCGCAUCUUCAGGGUGAGCGGCGGACGGGUGAGUAACGCGUGGGAAUAUGCCCUUCUCUACGGAAUAGCCUCGGGAAACUGAGAGUAAUACCGUAUACGCCUUCGGGGGAAAGAUUUAUCGGAGAAGGAUUAGCCCGCGUUGGAUUAGAUAGUUGGUGGGGUAAUGGCCUACCAAGUCGACGAUCCAUAGCUGGUUUUAGAGGAUGAUCAGCCACACUGGGACUGAGACACGGCCCAGACUCUACGGGAGGCAGCAGUGGGGAAUCUUAGACAAUGGGCGCAAGCCUGAUCUAGCCAUGCCGCGUGAGUGAUGAAGGCCUUAGGGUCGUAAAGCUCUUUCGCCAGGGAUGAUAAUGACAGUACCUGGUAAAGAAACCCCGGCUAACUCCGUGCCAGCAGCCGCGGUAAUACGGAGGGGGUUAGCGUUGUUCGGAAUUACUGGGCGUAAAGCGCGCGUAGGCGGACUAUUAAGUCGGGGGUGAAAUCCCGGGGCUCAACCCCGGAACUGCCCUCGAUACUGGUAGUCUUGAGUUCGAGAGAGGUGAGUGGAAUUCCGAGUGUAGAGGUGAAAUUCGUAGAUAUUCGGAGGAACACCAGUGCGAAGGCGGCUCACUGCUCGAUACUGACGCUGAGGU